GACGAACGCUGGCGGCGUGCCUAACACAUGCAAGUCGAGCGGAGAUAUAUUGAAGAUUUAUCGGAUAUAUAUCUUAGCGGCGGACGGGUGAGUAACGCGUGGGUAACCUGCCUUAUACAGGGGGAUAACACAGGGAAACUUGUGCUAAUACCGCAUAAUAUCAUUGUAUGGCAUCAUAUGAUGAUCAAAGGAGCAAUCCGGUAUAAGAUGGACCCGCGUCCAAUUAGCUAGUUGGUGGUGUAACGGACCACCAAGGCGACGAUUGGUAGCCGAACUGAGAGGUUGAUCGGCCACAUUGGGACUGAGACACGGCCCAGACUCCUACGGGAGGCAGCAGUGGGGAAUAUUGCACAAUGGGGGAAACCCUGAUGCAGCAACGCCGCGUGAAGGAUGAAGGUUUUCGGAUCGUAAACUUCUUUGAUGAGGGACGAAUAAUGACGGUACCUCAAGAACAAGCCACGGCUAACUACGUGCCAGCAGCCGAC
rnacentral:rRNA from 1 species